rnacentral:lncRNA from 1 species
CUAGGUAUCCACCUCUGUUUCCAUUCCGUAGAGUCUGGUUUUAGGGUUUUGGAGUCUUUUCUUUUCUUUUUUAGGCAGUUCCCCUUUUCUGUUCCUAUUUCUUUCGAAUCCUUUUCUUUCCUUAUUUUUGUGCUUCCUUCUCCAUUAGAAUGUCCUCCAAUUGCAGUAUUGAGUCAUGUCAAAGUAAUUGGAUACCUCGGUCAACCCAACCGCUAUUUGAUUUUGAGGUGGAAAGUCCAC